rnacentral:miRNA from 2 species
UGAGAUUCUUAUUCCUCCACUUAC